UACAGAGGGCGCGAGCGUUGUCCGGAAUCACUGGGCGUAAAGGGCGCGUAGGUGGCCACUAUAAGGCCGCGGUGAAAGUCCAGGGCUCAACCCUGGGGAUGCCGGUGGAUACUGUCGGGCUCGAGUCCGGAAGAGGCGAGUGGAAUUCCUGGUGUAGCGGUGGAAUGCGCAGAUAUCAGGAGGAACACCAAUAGCGAAGGCAGCUCGCUGGGACGUCACUGACGCUGAGGCGCGAAAGCGUGGGGGAGCGAACAGGG
rnacentral:rRNA from 1 species